GGGGGGGGGGUGAGUGGGGAGACCGUAAAAAUAGUAAGCGAAUAAAAUGGAUGAGUUCUUGCUCCAUGGGAUUAAGGACUGUAAAGACAACACUCCCAGCAGAGACAUUCAGCACUAAGGCCAGUGAGGUUAAGGUCCAUUUGGUGAAUUGUGAACAUCAGAACAGCAGCUCUGUAACGUAGAUGGUGUUGGUGCAUGGAAUCAAACCAGUGUUUUAUCAGCUACUGGAAGCCUCAGCAGCUACAGAAGUGAUGUUGAUGAACUUCAUCGAUCCCAAAGUUCUUUAGUGACGAUGAUGUUCAGGGCAAUGGGACAAAUCCUGGUGAAUAUUGUAGCAGAAAUCAGGACUCUCAGGACUCUUCUUCUCCUGCUGUGCUGUUUACUGUGUGAAGCUGGAGACGAGACGGUCAAACUGCAGGAAGUGGAAGGAACCACUAUAACUCUCCAUACUGGGAUAACUGGGAUUCAGAGGGAUGCUAUGAUUCUGUGGAUUUAUCGACCUGAGAAAGCAGAGGAAAAUAUAUUGAUUAGUGACCUGUUUAAAGGAGAAACUGUUACAGACUUCAGAGAGAGAUUUAAAGAGCGACUGCAGCUGGACAGAAACAGUGGAGCUUUAACCAUCAGGAACAUCAGCAGAACUGAUUCUGGAGUUUAUUUAUUACACGUCAUCACUGGAAGUGUCUCAUCUAGGACUUUCAGUGUCAGUGUUUAUGCUCCAGUAUCAACUCCAGUAAUAAUAAAUGAAAGAGGAAAGCGAAGUGUGAUUUCCACAGAGUCGUGUUUCCUCCUGUGUUCUGUGGAGAAUGGAGAAGAUGUGAAGUUAUCCUGGUACAGAGAGAAUGAGAGAAUCUCCAUCACCAAUAACACAGAUCUCAGUGUUCCCCUCAAUCUCCCACUUCAAAUACAACACAAUGACACUAACACUUACAUCUGUGUGUCUGCAAACCCUGUCAGCAAUAAAACAACUUCUCUCAUCAUCACACAGCUCUGUGACGUCUCAGAUAAACCUGAUCCUUUACUGCUUGCUGCUCUGAUAUCAGCUGGAGUUUUUGUGUUAUUAAUUAUAAUAUUAAUAACUUUGUGGAUUCGGCUGAAAAAGAAAAAAACAAAAGGCAAGUAAUGAAUCUUUCUGUUCAUGUGUUUAGUUCAGUUUUUAUAUUUGUUCAGUUCAGUAACAUUUAAUCUGAUUAUUUUUUCUUUAUUUACAGAAAUUCCUGAGGAAUUUACUUCCUCUGAUGCGAAUAUCAUCACUCACAGUUCAGAGAGAGAUAAAGAGGAAGAAAACUCCACAGUAACGGAUGAUGAGACCCUGUGGUGUAUUCAGACGUGAGGAGAUCCAAAUAAUUCAACACAUCUCUAUAUGAUAUAAAAUAUUUUAUGUUUUUGCACUUUUCAUGUUCUGUCAUACGUCAGAGUGACGCACUCGAGGGAAAGCUUUCUUCACUUUAGCUUCACUUUCUUCGCUUUAGCUUCACUUUAUCUUCACAUGCUUAUAGACAUAGACAAUUGGCUAGUGUUGCUGUGAAUGACCAGAGACAGAGUAUAUGCCCCUCUCACCCCGAGAGCAUGGCCAGAUUUGCCCUCUUAACUGGACACCUUGAUGAUGAAGGUACAGGAGCACUUUUUGUGUCUGGUUCCUCUCAAGUUUAUCACUCACGUUGUCUCAGGUUGCUUUUCCUUCCCUCUGCUGCCUUGCCCUACCUCAUUAGUGAUGAAUGUUAAGUGUCCAGACUUUCUCUACAGACUUGUGUAAUAUGGUUCAAAUAUAUAAUAUAAUGUCUUCCUGAUGUUUUACAAACUAAAGUGCAAUUCUGUAAAAAUUGCUGCUUCCACCUUGUGGUCAAAAUCAGUAUUUUACACAACACUAAAAAUGUGCUGAUAUUUUACAUUGUUACGGCCUUUUUUAUGUUUGUUCUCUGUUUUGGGAGGUGUCUGUGUUUCUGUGCAGGAUGAACACCGAUUGGUUACUGAAGGUUACCUGGUGCCACGCCCUGCCUGGUCAGCUGACUCCCUGCAGCCUAUAAAAGCCACCACCACCUCUUCCUGCUUUAGCUUUUUGGCUCACUUGCUGUGUUUUGUGUUACUUGUUUGCUGCUAGUUAGUAUUGUGUGUGAGUUGUCUGUGAUAUUAGUGUGUUUAGAUAUUCCUAUUAAUGCUGAUUAUUGCCUGUUCUUUUGGCUUUGACUCUGGAUUGCAUGUUUGUUCUUAUUAGCUAACCUGCAAAUAUGUGAAUAUAGUAUUAUUGGGACAGCAGGGAGACGGAUGCCAUUUUUGUUUGAACCUUUUAUUGGUUGUGUUUUUGUACAGGGAGUUAGGGAAGGAAUUGUGUUCCUUUUUUUGUUUGUUUGCACAGUAGGGAAUUUAAAGGGUACAACAAUUAGUUGUUUCUGUUAGUUAUUGUGGCCUUGUCGGCUCCUGAAGACAUAACCCCAGUUGUACAUGUGAAAUUUGUUAUUCUCAUUAAAAAUAUUGUUUAUUCCGUUA